UUUCCAAUCAAGAAUCCUUGUAGCAAAGCGGCCAUCUCUGCAUGAUUAGCAGUGACAUCUCCAUAAGGGGUAAGAUAGCAAAAGAUCAGAGUACCCUGAUAAUAUCUACAUAUGCUUCCCACACCCCCCGCGAAGUCCAGAAUUACCAAAAAAAAAAAAGAACCAUCAAAAUUAAAUUUAUAGCAACUCAAAAACGGUAGAACCCAUAUACACCGAGAUCUUACCCGAAAAUAAUUCUGAAGAUGCACAUAAGAAGGGAGAGACAAAAGCACAUCUAUUUGUUACAUUGCCCAACACCACAGACGAUAAGGAUAUGGACAGUGCAGCAAAAAGUGGUGAUCAACCGUCUCCGCAUUUUCUUUACAAAAUAAACCCACAUUAACAAUGGUCAUGCCUCUCUUUCUCAACUUAUCGGUCGUUAGAAUUUUAUUUUGUGCGAGAAUCCUAACGAAGAUGAGGAUAAUUGAGAGAAUAAUUGCG
rnacentral:lncRNA from 1 species